ACGUUCGGAUCGCAGCCUGCAACCCGGCUGCGUGAAGCUGGAAUCGCUAGUAAUCGCGGACCAGAAUGCCGCGGUGAAUACGUUCCCGGGUCUUGUACACACCGCCCGUCACACCAUGGGAGCCGGAAACGCCCGAAGCCAGUGGCCUGACCGCGAGGAGGGAGCUGUCGAAGGCGGGUCCGGUGACCGGGGUGAAGUCGUAACAAGGUAUC
rnacentral:rRNA from 1 species